UUGGGGGAGAAAUCACAAAAUUCAUAAAAAUAUUAUUUUUUAAAGAAGUCUUGGUUUAGACAAAGCAGCUCUUUUCCUAAGGCUGGAAGUGUGAUUUUUUUUUCUCGGCCAGCAGCAACCUGCAAUGUUCCACUCAGCGUAUUUCCUGUUGAUGUCUUUGACAUCACACUAGCCAUUGCUGUCCUGCACCACAUCAGCAUCCUCCUCAGAGAGCCAACACUGAGCACAGAAAGGACCCUGAUCUUUGUGGCUGCUGUCCUUACUACCACCUCCUCAGGACAGAAGCCAGAAUUAGAGCAGCCGCAGCAGCAGAGGAAUUCAACAGGGAGGGAGCUGCUGUGUCCCGCGGCCUCCAUCAGCUAGACACCACCCUACUCAAGACAGAGGCAUAGCGCUGAUGAACCAGAGAAUUGUCACGUAAGGGACAAGAUCCAGUGUACUCUCCGACAUGGAGGAAGAGCGUCUCUGGCCCUCCUGCCUGCUCCUGAGACUCUUCUUCCUUCUGGGUCGCCCUGUCAGCCUCGACAGGAGGGGCUUUGUCUUGUCUGACUGUAUGCAGUUUUGUCCUUUUGGUUAUUGUCUUUUGGAGGUCUGCUCUUCUGUGGAGAGAAACAGAAGGAGUGGAUCUGGGCAGAGGUGUGGGGGAGCUGGGAGGAGUGGAGGGAGAGGAAACUGUGGUCAGGGUGUGUUGUUGUAUGAGAGAAGAAUCUAUUUUCAAUAAAUAAUAACAAGUA